rnacentral:rRNA from 8 species
AGAGUUUGAUCAUGGCUCAGAUUGAACGCUGGCGGCAGGCCUAACACAUGCAAGUCGAACGGUAACAGGAAGCAGCUUGCUGCUUCGCUGACGAGUGGCGGACGGGUGAGUAAUGUCUGGGAAACUGCCUGAUGGAGGGGGAUAACUACUGGAAACGGUGGCUAAUACCGCAUAACGUCGCAAGACCAAAGAGGGGGACCUUCGGGCCUCUUGCCAUCAGAUGUGCCCAGAUGGGAUUAGCUAGUUGGUGAGGUAACGGCUCACCAAGGCGACGAUCCCUAGCUGGUCUGAGAGGAUGACCAGCCACACUGGAACUGAGACACGGUCCAGACUCCUACGGGAGGCAGCAGUGGGGAAUAUUGCACAAUGGGCGCAAGCCUGAUGCAGCCAUGCCGCGUGUAUGAAGAAGGCCUUCGGGUUGUAAAGUACUUUCAGCGGGGAGGAAGGUGUUGUGGUUAAUAACCGCAGCAAUUGACGUUACCCGCAGAAGAAGCACCGGCUAACUCCGUGCCAGCAGCCGCGGUAAUACGGAGGGUGCAAGCGUUAAUCGGAAUUACUGGGCGUAAAGCGCACGCAGGCGGUCUGUCAAGUCGGAUGUGAAAUCCCCGGGCUCAACCUGGGAACUGCAUUCGAAACUGGCAGGCUUGAGUCUUGUAGAGGGGGGUAGAAUUCCAGGUGUAGCGGUGAAAUGCGUAGAGAUCUGGAGGAAUACCGGUGGCGAAGGCGGCCCCCUGGACAAAGACUGACGCUCAGGUGCGAAAGCGUGGGGAGCAAACAGGAUUAGAUACCCUGGUAGUCCACGCCGUAAACGAUGUCUACUUGGAGGUUGUGCCCUUGAGGCGUGGCUUCCGGAGCUAACGCGUUAAGUAGACCGCCUGGGGAGUACGGCCGCAAGGUUAAAACUCAAAUGAAUUGACGGGGGCCCGCACAAGCGGUGGAGCAUGUGGUUUAAUUCGAUGCAACGCGAAGAACCUUACCUGGUCUUGACAUCCACAGAACUUUCCAGAGAUGGAUUGGUGCCUUCGGGAACUGUGAGACAGGUGCUGCAUGGCUGUCGUCAGCUCGUGUUGUGAAAUGUUGGGUUAAGUCCCGCAACGAGCGCAACCCUUAUCCUUUGUUGCCAGCGGUUAGGCCGGGAACUCAAAGGAGACUGCCAGUGAUAAACUGGAGGAAGGUGGGGAUGACGUCAAGUCAUCAUGGCCCUUACGACCAGGGCUACACACGUGCUACAAUGGCGCAUACAAAGAGAAGCGACCUCGCGAGAGCAAGCGGACCUCAUAAAGUGCGUCGUAGUCCGGAUUGGAGUCUGCAACUCGACUCCAUGAAGUCGGAAUCGCUAGUAAUCGUGGAUCAGAAUGCCACGGUGAAUACGUUCCCGGGCCUUGUACACACCGCCCGUCACACCAUGGGAGUGGGUUGCAAAAGAAGUAGGUAGCUUAACCUUCGGGAGGGCGCUUACCACUUUGUGAUUCAUGACUGGGGUGAAGUCGUAACAAGGUAACCGUAGGGGAACCUGCGGUUG